GACGAACGCUGGCGGCGUGCUUAACACAUGCAAGUCGAGCGGUAAGGCCCUUUCGGGGGUACACGAGCGGCGAACGGGUGAGUAACACGUGGGUGACCUGCCCUCAGCUCUGGGAUAAGCCUGGGAAACCGGGUCUAAUACUGGAUAUGACUCCAUGACGCAUGUUGUGGGGUGGAAAGCCUUGUGCGGCUGAGGAUGGGCCCGCGGCCUAUCAGCUUGUUGGUGGGGUGANGGCCCACCAAGGCGACGACGGGUAGCCGGCCUGAGAGGGCGACCGGCCACACUGGGACUGAGACACGGCCCAGACUCCUACGGGAGGGCAGCAGUGGGGAAUCUUGCGCAAUGGGCGAAAGCCUGACGCAGCGACGCCGCGUGAGGGAU
rnacentral:rRNA from 1 species